UAGGGAAUCUUCCACAAUGGGCGAAAGCCUGAUGGAGCAACGCCGCGUGUGUGAUGAAGGGUUUCGGCUCGUAAAACACUGUUGUAAGAGAAGAAUGGCAUUGAGAGUAACUGUUCAAUGUGUGACGGUAUCUUACCAGAAAGGAACGGCUAAAUACGUGCCAA
rnacentral:rRNA from 1 species